UACGUAGGGCGCAAGCGUUGUCCGGAAUUAUUGGGCGUAAAGAGCUCGUAGGCGGCUUGUCACGUCGAUUGUGAAAGCCCGAGGCUUAACCUCGGGUCUGCAGUCGAUACGGGCUAGCUAGAGUGUGGUAGGGGGAGAUCGGAAUUCCUGGUGUAGCGGUGAAAAUGCGCAGAUAUCAGGAGGAACACCGGUGGCGAAGGCGGUGGUCUGGGCCGGCACUGACGCUGAGGAGCGAAAGCGUGGGUAGCAAACAGG
rnacentral:rRNA from 1 species